GACGAACGCUGGCGGCGUGCUUAACACAUGCAAGUCGAACGAAGAGCGAUGGAAGCUUGCUUCUAUCAAUCUUAGUGGCGCACGGGUGAGUAACGCGUAAUCAACCUGCCCUUCAGAGGGGGACAACAGUUGGAAACGACUGCUAAUACCGCAUACGAUCUGACCUCGGCAUCGAGGAUAGAUGAAAGGUGGCCUCUACAUGUAAGCUAUCACUGAAGGAGGGGAUUGCGUCUGAUUAGCUAGUUGGAGGGGUAACGGCCCACCAAGGCGAUGAUCAGUAGCCGGUCUGAGAGGAGGAACGGCCACAUUGGGACUGAGACACGGCCCAGACUCCUACGGGAGGCAGCAGUGGGGAAUCUUCCGCAAUGGACGAAAGUCUGACGGAGCAACGCCGCGUGAGUGAUGACGGCCUUCGGGUUGUAAAGCUCUGUUAAUCGGGACGAAAGGCCUUUUUGCGAAUAGUGAGAAGGAUUGACGGUACCGGAAUAGAAAGCCACGGCUAACUACGUG
rnacentral:rRNA from 1 species